rnacentral:rRNA from 1 species
GAUGAACGCUAGCGGCAGGCCUAAUACAUGCAAGUCGAACGGUAAAUAUUUUAGCAAUAGAAUAUGAGAGUGACGUACGGGUGCGUAACACGUAUGCAACCUACCCUUUACAGGCGGAUA